CAUGUCCUUUUGAUUAUAAUUUAAGGUCUGGCCUGCCCAAUGAUUAAUUUAAUGGCCGCAGUAUAUUGACUGUGCAAAGGUAGCAUAAUCAUUAGUUUUUUAAUUAAAAGCUGGAAUGAAGGGUUUAAUGAAAAAUAAAUUGUCUCAAUGUUAUAAUAAUAAUUUUAUUUUUAAGUUAAAAAGCUUAAAUAAAUUAAAAAGACGAGAAGACCCUAUAGAGUUUAAUAUUUAAAUAAAGAAUUAUUAAUGAAUUAAUAAAAAAGUUUUUUAUAAAGAAUAUUUUAUUGGGGUGAUAUUAAAAUUUAGUAAACUUUUAAUUGUUUAAUACAUAAAUUAAUGAUUUUUUGAUCCAGAAUUUUUGAUUAUAAGAUAAAAUUACCUUAGGGAUAACAGCGUAAUUUUUUUUUAGAGUUCUUAUUAAAAGAAAAGAUUGCGACCUCGAUGUUGGAUUAAAAUAUAAUUUUGGUGUAGAAGCUAAAAUAUUUAGGUCUGUUCGACCUUUAAAAUU
rnacentral:rRNA from 1 species